rnacentral:rRNA from 1 species
UAGAUGCGAGAGUAGAGCAUAUCAAUAAGCGGAGGAAAAGAAACUAACUAGGAUUCCCUUAGUAACGGCGAGUGAAGCGGGAAGAGCUCAAAUUUGAAAUCUUCAAGGUUCUACCUUGACGAAUUGUAGUUUAAGGAAGUGUUUUCUGUUAGAUGAGUAGCAAAAGUUCCUUGGAAUGGGACAUCAUAGAGGGUGAGAAUCCCGUAUUUGGUUAUUCAUUCUAGCUUUGUGAUACACUUUCAAAGAGUCGGAUUGUUUGGGAAUGCAGUCCAAAAUGGGUGGUAAAUUUCAUCUAAAGCUAAAUAUUGGCGAGAGACCGAUAGCGAACAAGUACCGUGAGGGAAAGAUGAAAAGAACUUUGAAAAGAGAGUUAAACAGUACGUGAAAUUGUCAAAAGGGAAGCGUUUGACACCAGUGUUGUUUUUCUCGAAAAUCAAUUAACAAAUGGCUUGGAUUUUGUGUUGUAUUGACCUUAUCAGCUUUCUUCACUUUUUUUCGAGUCUUUCUUAAUGCACUUUUCGGUUAACAAGUCAACAUCAAUUUCUUUUGUUGUAAAAGAGUAUUCGGAAGGUGGCUUUCUUUUCGGAGAAAGUGUUUAUAGCCCUAUACUUCUACAAUCGGAGAGAUUGAGGUCUGCAGCGUAGAUCCUUCGGGGUUAGAUACACUUGUGCUAAGUUGUAGCUUUUCAUAGACAACUUGUUGACUAUGUUUAGUCAUGCGGCUUACUCGCUUGUGCUAUUUUACCUACGCUUAGGAUGUUGAGCGCAUGUCUCUCUCU